UCUAAUGUGGCAGAUUAGUGCAAUGAGUUUAAGCUUCAUAUAUAAAGNUAUCAUCUUUUAUUAGAA
rnacentral:tRNA from 1 species